GGGGCAUUAGCGCAGCUGGGAGCGCGCUUGACUGGCAGUCAAGAGGUCAGGGGUUCGAUCCCCCUAUGCUCCACCA
rnacentral:tRNA from 1 species